CACAUGGUGGUUCACACGACGCCGUCGCAGCAACGUGUGGGAACACACACGUGUAUGUGUACACACCACCACACACGGUGUGUAUGUUAUGUAAGCGCACAUGUGAACGGUGCUUUCAUAUAUCGCAGUUCCACAUAUGAGAGGUUUUCAGGUUGCAAGGGUUUAUUCUAGUCACGCUAUGUUUAGGGGUGCAUGUUUCACAUAACAUGUUGUGGCCAAGAGUACAUUAUUUGUAAACACGUUUUUCUUCAACAUAUGGACAAAUAUGCUAAAUGUUUAUCAGACAAUUUUAUAUUCAAGUAACAAAUUAAAAAUUAAUUUGUUUCAGCAUUCAAAUUUUUCAGUUAUUUAUUUUGUUUACACAAUUUUACAGUUUUACGCCACAUUUUUUAAGACAUGUUUCAAAUUUAUUUGCAGCAUUUUCAAUACAAAAUAAUGAAAUUUACAAAAAUAAAAUUUAAAAUAAAAAAAUUACAAAAUUUCAUUCCAUUUUAAAUUGUAAAUUGAUAACUUUAAAUUUUAAAGUUUUAAAAUUGGUCAAGUUUACCAUUAUGUUAAUUUUACAUUUUUGCACAUUUUUUACUUUAUUUUUAAAAUUUUACACCAGUCCCCCAAUUUCUCCCUUUCGCUUAAAUAAGCAGUUUUAAACCCCCUAUUCCCAAUUUAUCAUAUGUUAACAAUUUUUAAAAGUUUUUAAAAUUAAAAAUUUAAAUUUUUAAUUUAAAGUCUCAAAAUUCCAUAAAGUUAAUAUAUGUUCAGUUAACCUUUCAACAGGGGGGGGGGAAAAUUUUCCCCCCCCCCCAUAAGGAGAAAUUUCAAAUUCCCAACUUUUGCAAUAUUAAAAAAACCCACCCCUUUUUUUAAACUUUUCUGAAAUUUUUUGGUUGAAUUUUUGCACUAAAGUCAAUGGGGGGAAAAAUUCUCAAUUAAUUUUUUGCCUCUGGCUAUAGGAAAUUGUUAGUGGCAGACGGGUGAGUAAUGCGUAGGAAUCUACCUAGUAGUACGGAAUAGCCAUUAGAAAUGGUGGGUAAUACUGUAUAAUCCCCGAGGGGGAAAGAUUUAUCGCUAUUAGAUGAGCCUACGUUAGAUUAGCUAGUUGGUGAGGUAAUGGCUUACCAAGGCUAUGAUCUAUAGCUGGUCUGAGAGGACGAUCAGCCACACUGGAACUGAGAUACGGUCCAGACUCCUACGGGAGGCAGCAGUGGGGAAUAUUGGACAAUGGGCGAAAGCCUGAUCCAGCUAUGCCGCGUGAGUGAAGAAGGCUUCGGGUGUAACUUACUA
rnacentral:rRNA from 1 species